UUUGUCUGGCACACACCAUGCUGCGGGUCUCAUUCCCAGCCCUGGAAAGAAACGAGCAGGAUGCACGUGGUCAGAGCAGGGCAUCUCAGCAGGACAAGGCCACCAGUCUUCAUUCCACCCUAGUGCAUUUGAGCGGCAGCAGCUGGGUCACAGCCCCCAGAGGAGUGUAGCUCGGCGGGCAGUGGCAGCUCAGAGCCACUGCGCCUUGAGUUGCUGUCUUACCGCUGCCCCUCAGAGGCCUUGUCCCUUGCAGAUGCCCUUCCUUCCUUGUCUGCAGGAUGGCUGUUUGGUCACUAUGGUCAGUCACUGGACUGGCAGAGCUUCCAUCUUCCGCCGGCCUGAAUAGCUGCGCUGAGGUUCCUGUGUAGCCACACAGACUGCCCAGGGCUUCUCGGAUCCUGCCUGGUGUCCCUCCUGCCUGUCUGCUCUGCAGGCUUGCGCUUCCCUGCCUCCUCCGCACAGAGAACUCCUGUUACUUUCUGCACCACCUCCUUCGGAAUCGUUUGGAAUGGAACCAUUGUGCUGUCUUCCUCCAGCAUUUGUUCACAACUCGUCCACUGAACUGAUAGUUAGGAACUAGGUAGAGAAGAGUCUUUGGAUUGACCUGCUCACUGGUCUGGCAGCCUGGCCAGCCAGGGUCUGUACAGAGGAGGGGAUGCAAAGACGGCCGUGGGUCACAUGGCCAAGAAGCCCACCGGAGCUCAUGUCUGUGCCGCCAGGUCCCUACUGUUGGCACCAGUCACAUUGGCUCCAGGGCCCCUGUUUCCUAGACCAGACAGCCAGGCCAGUCUUCCCCACCCCUCUUCAAUUAAUCCUCUAUUUUGGUUGACUUAAGAGUCAAACUGCAGGAGAACUGCACCCAAAUGGGAUAAGCUCACUUAAAUCACUGGCAGGUAACGUGAUAGAUGGCUUGGCCGGCACCCAUGGUGGGAAUUAAGCAAAGCCUGAGCUGCAGCGACAGUGGGAAAUAACCUUGAGUGACUGCGGUAAGCAGGUGACCUCGUUUCACCUGGGGGCCAGCACCCACCCUGCACUCUGACUCAGAUGGGAAGGUUGCAUGCAGUGCCUGCCCAGUGGGUGGCUGGUGCUUUUCUCCAGCCUCUUCGUCCCACAGCAGGACCAGUGCCUCAGCAGCUGGACCCCCGGCAGAAUGGACAAGUCAUCCAGCUGGGAAAGGACAUGGGACUGAAACUGGGUCCCAUGUCCUUUCCCACGAGCCUGGGUCUCAUGUGCUCCAGCCCGGCCAGGUGAGGAUUCUAGCAAAUGGUCCCAUCUGCUGAGCUCACACGCUUGUUGGGGGAACCUAGGAAGAACCUGCAAGGGGCAGGAAAAGGCUGCUUUAGGGUCACAGGAAGAAACUGACUGUGACCAGAAACCGCUCUUACCAAGGAGAAACUUCAAGGUGCUUGCUUUUAUCAAGAUGAAGAUUCCUAGCAGAACUUCAGAUAAGCAGAACAAACAAGCUUCUGCCCAAGUGGGAACUGGUUCUGUUCCCUUUCUUUGCUUUUGUAAGUCAUCAAAGCCAAGUUCCUAAAGUCUGACUGUCUCACGGUACUUUCUGAUGGUUUCAUUGUUUUGUUUAUUGUGCUUAUGACAAGUGCUAACAGACCGCUUUCAAAGUGUGUUGAUAUUUCAGUUGUUUUUGAAUAACCCUUCUGUUUUUCUGCAUCUGGACAGCAUUAGAGUCUGGCCCCAGGAAACCACUGGGCUCCUAUAAAAGUGAACCAGGUCCCCUUGUGCAGAAAACACUGGCCAUGACAAGAUCAGACAUCCAUCUGGGCAAGAACACACUCGAAAUAUGAGCAGACUCAUGAGGCUGUGUUCAGCAGCCAGGGAAGACAGGCCUGGUCUGGGAGGAGGCCAGUGAGCCGCGUCGAGUGGGCUGUGGGUGUCUGUCUUUGUGCAUGGGAAUACUGUGUUCAGCCAAUGUGCCUAGCAGAGUGCCUGGCACUGCUCACUGCACAAAUUAUUCGCUGUCUAGAGGUCCCUAGUCUGUCUCUUUCUUGUUUUCUCACAGGUUGCUGGUCAUUCACCAGCAUAGUAUAGGAGCAGGAGUCUCCUGCCUUUUGCAGAUGGGAAGGGGAUCUAGGAGUGGAAUAGGCUUAGGGGAUGUGAGUUAUUCCUAAACCUUCCUGCAAGGUCACCUCUGUUUUCCUCCGUUCCAGUGGGCCCUGUAGCCCCUGCACCUUGUGAGUGCAUAGAUGGUCCUCUCCUACUGGGUUUUGGAGUGGCAGGACCCCCUCUGGGUUGAUCCUGGUUGCUCUGUGUUUCAGUUGAAGAGGGUCCUAUCUUUGUGCCCUGGUUUAGUGGGCCUCCCUGAGGUCACUGUGAGAGUCAGGCAGGAGGGAGGUUUCAAGGUGCUAAGAGCUUGGGAGUAUCCAUGCUGCACUUGGAGGAGAUCCAGGUUGUCCAGAUGAGGGAAGAAGUUAGUUCAGUCAGCUGGUUCUAAAAAUGAAUCCUGGAGGCUCUUGUAAUUAAUUAGCAUGCUCAUGCAUAUAAAUGGCUUGGAUGGGCAGGACUACACCUUCUGAUCGGCAGUGGUUGGGGGUCCAUUCACCAGUUCUUGAUUCCUUUAUGGCAGCCCUCCCUGGCUUUUCCUUCCAGAUAAACUCUAUGGUGACAGCUAGUUUUCCACUGGUGUAACGAAUUCCUGAGCUCAUUGACUUUUAAGGGCAAAGGUUUCAAUCCAUGAUUACAUGGACCUGUUGCUUUGGGCUUCUAGUUUGGGGUGAGGGGAAGAGCACGUCAUGGCAGGAGUAUGUUGUAGAGCAAAGUGUUCACCCCGUGGAGGGAAAGAAAUAGGUGACCAGGGUCCCACAGUCUCCUUCAAGGACAUCCUCCAGUGACCAGAAUCUUCUACCAGGCCUCUCCUCCCCAAGCAUCAAUCAUGGAGCAAAGCUUUAACACAUGGGCCUCUAGGGAACAUUUCAGAUCCAAACUAUGGCAGGUUAUCUUGAUAAAAACACCUGAGUAAGCUUCUUUUUUUUUUUUUUUUUUUUUUGGUCUUUUUCGUUUUUAUCGGUGCCAGGGAUCGAACUCACGACUGCCUGCUUGCAAGGCAGGCGCUUAUGCCACUGAGCUAAAUCCCCAGUCCCUUGAGUAAGCUUCUUAUCCUUGAAGAACCCUCAGAACGUCAUCCCACCUGGGAGACCCAAGGGUAUGCUCAGCAACACUGAUUUUGGUUCAGCAGGGCACACUCUCACUGGCCAUUGGUUCUAGAGUAGAUGCAGGGAGGCUGUGGGUCUAGGCCCAGACGCCCCAACAAGGGGAGUAGCCGGCCUGGCAGGGGCUGAGCUGUUUCCCAUGUUAUUCUCUGGAUAGGCAGGGUAGAGAACUGCGCUCUUUUCUCUGCUGUGAGAUGUAUAUGCGUGUAUGUGCCUGUGUGUGAACACUUGUCAUUUUGAAAAAUUCUAAACUUUAUGUAGCAGUUUCUCUCUCACCAGGAUCUCUUCUUGUGUGAAACUUUAAUUUUAUAGUUUUGGCUGUUAAUUCAUCAUGGGUACCACCAUCAAUAAAUAUUUAUUGAGCUUUCACUGGGCCCAGCGUGUUGAAAUAAGAGCUAUAUAUUUGACUCAAGAGGAGUUGAUAGCUGAUGAGGGUAGAUUUGGGGAAGCGUGGGAGAAGUUUCUUGGAGGUCUCUUCCAACCCUGAGAUUUUACGACUUUGUAAGUACAGUGACAGGGUCACCUUGACAAGAGCCAAGCUGUCUGCACAGACAACACAAUGGGCCUUCUUUGAGAGAUGCUUGCCCCUGUGUGGGAGCCCACAGCUCUCAUGAGCAACAUGAGCCCCAUGCCCAUU